UACGAAGGGGGCUAGCGUUGCUCGGAAUUACUGGGCGUAAAGCGCAUGUAGGCGGCCAUGAUAGUCAGAUGUGAAAGGCCUGGGCUUAACCCGGGAACUGCAUUUGAUACUGCAUGGCUAGAGUCCAAGAGAGGGUAGUGGAAUUCCCAGUGUAGAGGUGAAAUUCGUAGAUAUUCGGAAGAACACCAGUGGCGAAGGCGACUUACUGGACACAUAUUGACGCUGAGGUGCGAAAGCGUGGGGAGCAAACAGG
rnacentral:rRNA from 1 species